rnacentral:rRNA from 1 species
AUGCGGGCUCGGGCCAAUUUUCCCGCCAGAACAGAGCCCGCAUACUCGCCCGACCCGCAAGCCGCAGCCCACAAACCGCACGCCCCGAGCACUAUAAGUGCCGUUCCGCGACCCUUUUACGGGUCCAAACCCUAUCCCCCCGCCGCCGCGAGCCACCCGAUUCCCCUUUCCCCUCUCCCAAUUUCUCGCCGCCGGCGACCACCCGCCCCGCCUCCAGCCGCCAUGUGGGGGCGAAUGUGGAGCUCCGGACGCGGCUCCGGUAGCAGAUCCGGCCGUGAGAGGGACCCGGAGCGCGAGCGGCGCGUCCGGUCCGACGGCGCGAGGAAGCGCGGCGCCCAGAAGUGGACCAACCACGGGAUGUCGCCGCCGGCGAGCUUCAACCGCCGCAAAACGGAGGAGUACGACCGCCGGCGCGCGUCCUUCUCCUCCGCGAGGUCUUCCUACGCCGGAUCCUCCUUGUCCUCCGCCGCGGGCUUCCUCCCCGUGAAGAGGGAGUGUUCGGACGAGGAGGAGGAGGAGCCGGAGCCGCCGGCGCCGUUCGCCUUCGUCCCGGUGAAGGAGGAGCCCGAGGAGCCCGCUCCGCUCGGCUACCGCGGAGUCGUCGGGCCCGAGGACUACGUCGCGGACUUCGACGCCGUCGCCGUCGCCAUCGCCGAGCGGAGCGUGCGCGAGGAGGAGGAGUGA